UACGUAGGGGGCGAGCGUUGUCCGGAGUUACUGGGCGUAAAGCGUGCGCAGGCGGCUUUGCAAGACAGAUGUGAAAUCCCCGGGCUUAACCUGGGAACUGCAUUUGUGACUGCAUGGCUAGAGUGCGGCAGAGGGGGAUGGAAUUCCGCGUGUAGCAGUGAAAUGCGUAGAUAUGCGGAGGAACACCGAUGGCGAAGGCAAUCCCCUGGGCCUGCACUGACGCUCAUGCACGAAAGCGUGGGGAGCAAACAGG
rnacentral:rRNA from 1 species